ACGGGUGAGGAAUACAUCGGAAUCUGCCUUGUUGUGGGGGAUAACGUAGGGAAACUUACGCUAAUACCGCAUAAGACCUUAGGGUGAAAGCGGAGGACCUUCGGGCUUCGCGCGACAAGAUGAGCCGAUGUCGGAUUAGCUAGUUGGCGGGGUAAUGGCCCACCAAGGCGACGAUCCGUAGCUGGUCUGAGAGGAUGAUCAGCCACACUGGAACUGAGACACGGUCCAGACUCCUACGGGAGGCAGCAGUGGGGAAUAUUGGACAAUGGGCGCAAGCCUGAUCCAGCCAUGCCGCGUGUGUGAAGAAGGCCUUCGGGUUGUAAAGCACUUUUGUCCGGAAAGAAAAGCUUCGGGUUAAUACCCCGGGGUUAUGACGGUACCGGAAGAAUAAGCACCGGCUAACUUCGUGCCAGCAGCCGCGGUAAUACGAAGGGUGCAAGCGUUACUCGGAAUUACUGGGCGUAAAGCGUGCGUAGGUGGUUUGUUAAGUCUGAUGUGAAAGCCCCGGGCUCAACCUGGGAAUUGCAUUGGAUACUGGCAGGCUAGAGUGCGGUAGAGGAUGGCGGAAUUCCCGGUGUA
rnacentral:rRNA from 1 species